UCCUUAGACCUGUGCAAUGUCCGUCUUGACAACGCUUCAGGGUGGGAACACAGCAGAGCACCAAACCGGUAUAUGUGCCGCAGGUAUCUGGGGGAAG
rnacentral:SRP_RNA from 1 species